rnacentral:tRNA from 1 species
GGAGGGGUUCCCGAGUGGCCAAAGGGAGCAAGACUGUAAAUCUGCCGGCUCCGUCCUUACGAUGGUUCGAAUCCGUCCCCCUCCACCA